CGUCGCUGCCACUUCACGGGAAGCUGGCAGACCUGGGGCCCUCCGCCCCGGGCCGAAGAACAGACAAGCGCUGGCCGCCCCUCAUGACGGGCGCCAGCCCAACAAGAAAUUUCGGAUGUACGCAUGUUCCAGGAUGGAGCAUGAACCCCA
rnacentral:sRNA from 12 species